CUCAGAAGAUCUAUAUAAGGGGGCAUCAGUUUUUGGGUUUUCGGUCACUCUGUAAAGUGCCGCUAGGGUUUUCUCUCUGCCAUUGUUUUGAAGUCGGGAUAGUGUGCUGCUGAGGUCGCUUGUGGAAUUUGAAAAUGAGGGCUAAGUGGAAGAAGAAGCGCAUGAGGAGGCUCAAGAGGAAGCGCCGAAAGAUGAGGCAGAGAUCCAAGUAGACAAUGAUGAUAGCUUUGACAAGGGUGAUCUUCUCUGGGUCUCCUCCUUUCCAAAUCUUUUUUGGAUUGGUGGUUUGAUUUAGCGGGGAAUGCCUUGUUAGGUCUUAUAAUCAGAAUCCUGAGCAAUCGUCUAUUCAGAAACUAGGUUGUUCUUAUGUUUUGUUUAUCUUGUUUGAGAGAACUUGAAUGGUAGUCGUACUAAUCUUCAAUUUUGGGAGACAAUUUUAAAUGUUUGUUGCUUACAGUUGGUUAUUGAGAUUUCUCUUUAGUUCUUCCUUCAA